rnacentral:rRNA from 1 species
UACGGAGGGUGCAAGCGUUAUCCGGAUUCACUGGGUUUAAAGGGUGCGUAGGCGGGCAGGUAAGUCAGUGGUGAAAUCUCCAGGCUUAACUUGGAAACUGCCAUUGAUACUAUCAGUCUUGAAUACCGUGGAGGUCAGCGGAAUAUGUCAUGUAGCGGUGAAAUGCUUAGAUAUGACAUAGAACACCAAUUGCGAAGGCAGCUGGCUACACGAAUAUUGACACUGAUGCACGAAAGCGUGGGGAGCAAACAGG